rnacentral:lncRNA from 10 species
UAUGAAAAUCAGACCUCUCUCCCAACCCCCAAGGAAUCACGUGGUGGACCAGGAGCAGAGUGGAGACUCGGGGCAGGCAGAGCAGAGGAGGCUGGCCCCCUCACGUAGGCAGGCAAGCAGGCAGGCAUGUGGGAGUUACCAGCUUCAGUUCCUCAGCCCUACAGAGGGAAACGACCCACGGCACCAACAACAGCCACACCACUGACGACGACAACGGAUUGUGCUGUCACCAGAAAGAAGGGAAACCCAGAGCGAAUUUUACAGUGGUUUUCACCACACGGUGAUUGCAGUCCUGUUCAGGGCAUGUCACAGUAACACCACCCACUGAGCAGAACCCAGAGGGAAAUUAGGCCUCCUUCAAAGUCUCCCAUUACUGCCUAUCCCUGAACAGAAUAAGGCAAGGAUUUUAAGGACACACAGACAUGUGGCCCUACCUCCAUUGGCUUCCUGGGGCCCCUGGCUUCUUAUUCACUAAAGAGAAUUGUUCUCAGUGACUGACAAGGCUAAAUGAAGACAGGGUGCUCUCUCAUUAAAUGCAACUGCUCUUUAAGAGGCAGGCAGGGCCAUGGACAAGUUAUGAGAUUUUUGGUCAGUGUUUUUACCAAGAAAACUUGAUCUGCCAUAAAAUCUCAAACAAGUGAAGAAAAGGAAUGCAGAGAUGCAGGGCCUUUUCUCCACAUUCAAAAGACCAAAGUUGGCAUGUUUUGUUCUAACACCAACCACAUUUCUAACACAUAUUUGGAGUUCUGUGACUAGUCUCUGAGAUUAUAAUACAGAUAUUUAUCACUUAUCACACUGAAUUUGGGGAGGGGAUUCCCCUUUGGUUUUGUCAAAUAAUCACAGAAGGAGCCAUGUAUGUUAUCUGUCCUGUUUCUAGUGAAGAAGACAAAGCUCUUCACUCCCCUCCUGACCCUCCCCCUCUAAAAAAUCAGCCAUUUAUGGCGGGUAUUGACUCUUGCCAAUUUUAAACUGUAACUUCAAAUGUCAGCCUGUUGACUUACAGAAACAGACUGACAAAUGGCUGUCUGCUAUGGAGAAAAACUUUGGAAACUCAAAAUGUUCAUACAGACUGCCAACAGAUUAAUUAGUAGCCUCUUUGGAAGCAUGAUCACGGUCUAAGAAUAGCCUUAAAUCCUGUUCAAGACUAGCUUCUUUCCCCAAAUCAUUAUAGUGCUAGCCAAAUAAUAGCAAAUGUUAGAUACAGUGGUAUAUGGUUUUGGUGUGUGCAAGAGUCAGACUGGAUUAGAAAAUACGACUGCCAUUUCAUACCAGUUUUCAUGGCUAAGUUCUACUAAAACUAUGUGACCUUCAUCAUCACAAUAAACUGCCGAAAGUGCUGGAAUGACUAG